rnacentral:rRNA from 1 species
GUUGCCUACGGGACGCAGCAGUGAGGAAUAUUGGUCAAUGGGAGAGAUCCUGAACCAGCCAAGCCGCGUGAGGGAAGACGGCCCUAUGGGUUGUAAACCUCUUUUGUCGGAGAACAAAACCCGGGACGAGUCCCGGACUGCGUGUAUCCGAAGAAAAAGCAUCGGCUAACUCCGUGCCAGCAGCCGCGGUAAUACGGAGGAUGCGAGCGUUAUCCGGAUUUAUUGGGUUUAAAGGGUGCGUUGGCGGUCCGUU